rnacentral:rRNA from 1 species
UGCGGUUAAACAAAUAAUGCUACUAUUUUUUUUCGGUUAUGGUUGUUUAGUUAAUAAAAGUUUUAUUUUUAUUUAGCGGAAUAUUGGGUGAAAUCCUAUUUUCUAUUUAAUUAAGUUUUUUGAUAUUUGAGGCUAGUAAAUCUAGGUUUUAGACUGGGAUUAGAUACCCCAUUAUUCUAGACGUAAAAAUUUUAAACCUAAUUAUUGUAAGUUACGUUCUUUAAAAUUAAUGAAUUUGGCGGUGUUUUAUUCCAAUCAGGGGAAUCUGUUCUGUAAUCGAUAAUCCACGAUUGGUAAAACUUGUUUUUGCUUGUAUAUCGUCGUUGUUAAUUAUUUUUAAAAUAUAUAAUUUUAUAAUUUUAUUUUAUAUUAAAUCAGAUCAAGGUGCAGUUAUUUAUAAGUAGAAAUGGGUUACAAUAAAUUUAUUUUAGGAUUGAUUUUAUAAUUAAAAUUAUGAAUUUGGAUUUGAAUGUAAUUUUGAUUGUUUAUUAAAGUGAAUUAGGCUCUAAAAUGUGU